AGUGAACGCUGGCGGUAGGCCUAACACAUGCAAGUCGAACGGCAGCACGGUAAGAGCUUGCUCUUACGGGUGGCGAGUGACGGACGGGUGAGGCAUACAUCGGAAUCUUCUUUUUCGUGGGGGAUAACGUAGGGAAACUUACGCUAAUACCGCAUACGACCUACGGGUGAAAGCAGGAGAUCUUCGGACCUUUCGCGAUUGAAUGAGCCGAGGUCGGAUUAGCUAGUUGGUGGGGUAAAGGCCCACCAAGGCAACGAUCCGUAGCUGGUCUGAGAGGAUGAUCAGCCACACUGGAACUGAGACACGGUCCAGACUCCUACGGGAGGCAGCAGUGGGGAAUAUUGGACAAUGGGCGCAAGCCUGAUCCAGCCAUACCGCGUGGGUGAAGAAGGCCCUCGGGUUGUAAAGCCCUUUUGUUGGGAAAGAAAAGCAGUAGGUUAAUACCCCGCUGUUCUGACGGUACCCAAAGAAUAAGCACCGGCUAACUUCGUG
rnacentral:rRNA from 1 species